ensembl:lncRNA
GAAUGGGUGCGCGUGUACACCGCGGACCAUUAUCACCUGUUGAUGGAAUCAAAGACCAUGGUAGAGAGGCUUAAUUUGACCUUCACCAACAUGAGCGCUGUGGUCCAAAACCUGCAGCCUUCAACCGUCUACGACUGUUACAUCUACACCGCAAACCAAGCUGGUCUUGGAGCGAGAAGCAGAGUGAGGACCAUUUCUACCUUGAUCCAACCGCCAAAGGGAGUUACAGCCAACCAGAUUGGAAAUAGUUCAGUGCGCCUCUUCUGGCAGCCAGUGGAAAAGGUUAUUCUUUACGAGGUGACGGUUACCGACCUGGAUGAACCAGACCACGCACUGUUCAAGACAAAAGUGUCACAAAACCAACUGGACAUAAGGGAUAUCCUGCCAUGUUCCUCUUAUCAGAUAUCAGUGGCUUCUGUCAACACCUUACUGGAGCCAGGAGAGCCUACUGAAUACACAUAUACUACAAACACAUUAAGUGCUGUGAUGUCCAUAUCCGUGGAGUACAGCUGUACCAGUGGCACAGCCAUGGUGUCCUGGGCCAGAGUGUUCGGAGCAGACUCGUACAGAGCAGUUGCUACCGGCAGCGGCAGGACCGUCCUAUCCUGCACCUCUCAGGGCACAGAGUGCCAGAUCACAGGGGUGGGCUGCGGAGAUGACUACAUGGUGCAGGUCACCGCUGUGUCCAAGAGCUGUGAGAGCAAAGUAAACGCCACCUCACACUUUGCCACAGUCCCCUGUCCUCCAAAGAAUCUCAACCUGUACCGUGAGUGUUCCAGCAACGUGAUCAUCUUCUCCUGGGCUGCCACCAACAACACGGCUCACUACAGGGCCAAGGCCGUGGACUCAGAGGGAGAAAACAUGGACUGUAUGACCUUAGACACUUCCUGUUUCUUCACCAACACUGUGUGUGGCCGUCACUACACCUUCACUGUCUACUCUGUCAGUAGUGGGUGCAACAGCCAGGCCAGCCCACCAG